UACGUAGGGUGCGAGCGUUAAUCGGAAUUACUGGGCGUAAAGCGUGCGCAGGCGGUUUGUUAAGACAGAUGUGAAAUCCCCGGGCUUAACCUGGGAACUGCAUUUGUGACUGGCAAGCUAGAGUAUGGCAGAGGGGGGUAGAAUUCCACGGUGUAGCAGUGAAAUGCGUAGAGAUGUGGAGGAACACCGAUGGCGAAGGCAGCCCCCCUGGGAUAACACUGACGCUCAUGCACGAAAGCGUAGGGGAGC
rnacentral:rRNA from 1 species